GGAUGUGAGGGCGAUCUGGCUGCGACAUCUGUCACCCCAUUGAUUGCCAGUGUUGAUUCUGAUGAUCUGGCUGGCCAGGCGGGUGCCCCCUUCCCCCCUCACCACUCCAUGUGUGUUCCUCCGGAAGCUGUGUGCUAGGUUGAAGAGGACGGCCUUCCCCUAAUACAGAGGGACCUGUCUUUGGUCGAGGGUAUAGGAGUAGCUGCGCUCCCCUAGAACCUCCAAACAAGCUCUGAAGGUCCAAAUAAUAGAGUCUCAUUCCUUCCUUCUCAUUGGAAUAUAUAUAUACCUGAUAUAUUGCUC
rnacentral:snRNA from 1 species